GAGGAAAGUCCGGACUCCAUAUAGGAAAUGAUUGUUGAAGAAAGUUCAAUGUAAGUAAUUAUGAGGAAAGUGCCACAGAAAUAGACCACUUAUUUGUUUAAUUAAGUAAGGGUGCAAAGGUGUGGUAAAAGCACACCAGAGAUAUUAUCAAGAUAUUUGCUAGGUAAACCCCAUCUUGGAGCAAAGUCAUUAGUAUAACUGAAAUUGAUCUAUUUAUGACUAAUGCAUAAAUACCGCAUAAAGUAAAAACUUUAUUAUGUUUUACUGAAGAUAAAUAACUACCCUUCUAAUAUUUAUCUGAAUAUAUAUAGAAGAACAAAAUCCGGCUUAU
rnacentral:RNase_P_RNA from 1 species